AUAUAUAUAUAUAUAAUUGAGCUCAUAUGCUUUUAAAAGUACCAAAUUAUUGGUGCUUGUAGAUUUUUAGCCAUUGGACUAAGAGAUAUGCGGUUAGGAUGAUGUGGGCCCUCUAGGGUUGAGUGGGUGGUUGGUUGAAUAAUAUAAUCUAAUGGUUGAAAAUGAUUUAAGGAAUAGAUCUAACGGUAAAAAACUUAAAAGCACCAAAUGCUUGGUGCUUUUACAAGCACUAUAGCUGGACUCAUAUAUAUAUAUAUAUAUAUAUUGUAGAACAUUUUCUUCAAUAUCUUUUCUCUUUGAAUGGGGGCCCAAUAGCUUCUUACUAAGGGGAUUUGGGCUGAAGCAUGUCUUGGGGCCCGCCCUAAUCAUAUUUGGAUACGGGCCGCUGUAGCCCAGUGACACGUCUGUACAAUGUUCUACAAUGACAUAUUUAGGGAAUGUUUAGUUCACCUAUUUUAGACUGUAGAAUCGAAAUGAUAUUCAUUUAUUUUAAUAGUUGUUGUUUAUCUUAUAGAAAUUGGAUUUCUAUUUCUAUUCUAUUCUAAAAUCGAAAUAGCCAAAUCCAUUUCUGAUCCAAAGUAUACUAUCUAAAAUUCUCUCUCACAAACACCCCCUUCUCUCUCCCGUUCCUUUCAUCACUCUUCUCUCUCUCGAUCAAAACAUUCUCUCAAAAUCCUAAAUUUUUAUUAUGAUUUUUAUUCCGAUAAUGAACUAAAUAUUAAUGAAUGAUCCAUCAUUCUAUUUUUUAUUACUAUUUCAAUUAUAAAUCAAACAUGCCCUUAGUGUAACCCAUCCAACUU
rnacentral:lncRNA from 1 species